UCAGAGGUUGUAAAAGUAGGUUCAGUAAAUCAGAGGUUAUAAAAGUAGAUUCAGUAAAUCAGAGGUUAUAAAAGAGGGAUCAGUAAAUCAUAGGUGGUAAAAGUAGGUUCAGUACAUCAGAGGUUGUAAAAGUAGGUUCAGUAAAUCAUAGGUUAUAAAAGUAGGUUCAGUAAAUCAGAGGUUGUAGGUUCAGUAAAUCAGAGGUUAUAAAAGUAGAUUCAGUAAAUCAGAGGUUAUAAAAGAGGGAUCAGUAAAUCAUAGGUUAUAAAAGUAGGUUCAGUAAAUCAGAGGUUGUAGGUUCAGUAAAUCAGAGGUUAUAAAAGUAGAUUCAGUAAAUCAGAGGUUAUAAAAGAGGGAUCAGUAAAUCAGAGGUUGUAAAAGUAGGUUCAGUAAAUCAGAGGUUAUAAAAGAGGGAUCAGUAAAUCAGAGGUUGUAAAAGUAGGUUCAGUAAAUCAGAGGUUAUAAAAGUAGAUUCAGUAAAUCAGAGGUUAUAAGAGUAGAUUCAGUAAAUCAGAGGUUAUAAAAGAGGGAUCAGUAAAUCAGAGGUUGUAAAAGUAGGUUCAGUAAAUCAGAGGUUAUAAAAGUAGAUUCGGUAAAUCAGAGGUUAUAAAAGUGGGAUCAGUAAAUCAGACUUUGUAAAAGUAGGUUCAGUAAAUCAGAGGCUGAAAAAGUAGGAUCAGUAAAUCAGAGGUUGUAAAAGUAGAUUCAGUAAAUCAGAGGUUAUAAAAGUGGGAUCAGUAUAUCAGAGGUUGUAAAAGUAGGUUCAGUAAAUCAGAGGUUAUAAAAAUAGUAUGUCAAAUCAAAUAAACAUUAAAGACAGGAUGUCAUUUUGUUACAUAUUUUUUUUUAAAUGACUAAUCUGUCGCUAAAUGAACACACUUAUAAAUGAAGUGCAUGAAAUUUCAAACUUAACUAUUUACUUUGCACUUUGGUCCUACCCUAUUGUGACCUGAAGCGUUUGAAAUAAAAUUAGAUUAUACAAUGAAUGCCCUAUCAUCAUAGUUGCUAGCAAAAAAAAAUUCACUAGUCUAAAUAAAAGCUCAUUACCAGUGACAUUACUUAUAGAGAUAAGGUCAUGGGAAAUUGUCUACUUAAUGACCUAUAACCUCAAGGACUAUAUUGAGAAGGCAUCCACUAUUUAUACACUAUUGCGACUCAGAGAUUUAUUUUUUUUAAGUAGUCCACAUCAGAUUCAAACUCAUGCCCACUUUCAGUUAGGUAGAAAUCAGUCUAUGCAACUCAGCCACAUAGAGUGUUAGGAAUAAUAAAUCUGUAAUACUGUGAGUGAAAACAAAACUGAGGUGUUUAUUUGAUUAUCAAAAAUUUAUAAUUCAGCAAGAAUUCUUUAUACACAGUGUUCAUCAAGCAUACAGUUGACACUCUCAAAAACUGAUCUCUAGUUAUCUCCCUUGUCGAAACAAAAACCCAAACACCAGGCAUCAUUCAAACAGGCAAAAGUCUAAUACAGCUAUUUGAAACACAGGAUGUAGCGUUGGAGGUAACAAUUUCUAUCCUUAACUAGAGAGUCCAAAUGUAGUUACUUGUUAGGAAUGCAAUUACAAGUAUAUAAACCACUACAUUUCUUCUUCUACAAAACAAUUAAUUAAAUUUUGUAUUAAAGAUAAUGUCCAUAAUUGCAAGUGACAAAGUCAUUUUUUUUCUUCUAAAAGAGAGUAAUUAAAAUCCAUUUUCUUUCUUUGAAAAGAUUAGUUUUGUAAGUUAAAGUUUGAGGCUCAAUGGGGCAAGCAUAAAUUGAUUUAGGCCACAGCAGAGGUGAGUCCGGACACACCAUCAAGAGAUGUACCAACAGACUUCAAGGGUUCUAAAAGUGAAACCUUCAGUUCUAACAUAGCCAAAGAAGAUUCAAAAGAUUGCUCAGAUAAGAUAAGACAAGAAAAACAAAAGGUUAGAGAUACACAUUAUAAGAAUGUUAUAUGGAGACGAUAUGUCCUAAAAGGGACCCUAGGGAGACAUAAUUAUAAUAACCUUUCACUCCUUAAUGUGAAAAAUACAAUAAAACGAAACAAUUGAAUAAUUUUACUCUACACUUUGGUCACAGAAACAGAUGUUCUUUACAUCUUCUGUACUAUAGAUCACAAGGUCUGAAAGGGGAACUUUAGUUGUUUUUUUUAACUUUACAUUUCACUUUAAGCCAUUUUUGGGCUAAAUUUAAGUCGAUGUAAAUUAUCUAUUUGAGGGGCGGCAGCUGAAUGGUAAAG
rnacentral:sRNA from 1 species